AGAGUUUGAUCAUGGCUCAGGAUGAACGCUAGCGGCAGGCUUAAUACAUGCAAGUCGUGGGGCAGCGCGGGUAGCAAUACCUGGCGGCGACCGGCAAACGGGUGAGGAACAUGUACGCAACCUUCCUUUAACUGGAGAAUAGCCCCUCGAAAGAGGGAUUAAUACUCCGUAACAUAAUGAAGUGGCAUCACUUUAUUAUUAUAGCUCCGGCGGUUAAAGAUGGGCGUGCACCUGAUUAGAUAGUUGGCGGGGUAACGGCCCACCAAGUCUGCGAUCAGUAACUGGUGUGAGAGCACGACCAGUCACACGGGCACUGAGACACGGGUCCGACUCCUACGGGAGGCAGCAGUAAGGAAUAUUGGUCAAUGGACGCAAGUCUGAACCAGCCAUGCCGCGUGGAGGAUUAAGGCCCUCUGGGUUGUAAACUCCUUUUAUCUGGGAAGAAAUGUACUUUUUCUUGAGUACUUGACGGUACCAGAGGAAUAAGCACCGGCUAACUCCGUGCCAGCAGCCGCGGUAAUAC
rnacentral:rRNA from 1 species